UACGUAGGGUGCGAGCGUUGUCCGGAAUUAUUGGGCGUAAAGAGCUUGUAGGCGGUCUGUCGCGUCUGCUGUGAAAAUCCGGGGCUCAACCCCGGACUUGCAGUGGGUACGGGCAGACUAGAGUGUGGUAGGGGAGACUGGAAUUCCUGGUGUAGCGGUGAAAUGCGCAGAUAUCAGGAGGAACACCGAUGGCGAAGGCAGGUCUCUGGGCCACUACUGACGCUG
rnacentral:rRNA from 1 species